UACAAAUAACUAAAGUAAUUUGCUCUCUCAA
rnacentral:piRNA from 1 species